GACGAACGCUGGCGGCGUGCUUAACACAUGCAAGUCGAACGAUGAAGCCAGCUUGCUGGUGGAUUAGUGGCGAACGGGUGAGUAACACGUGGGUGAUCUGCCCCAAACUUUGGGAUAAGCCUGGGAAACUGGGUCUAAUACCGAAUAUGACCGAUACUCGCAUGGGUGUUGGUGGAAAGCUCCGGCGGUUUGGGAUGGGCCCGCGGCCUAUCAGCUUGUUGGUGGGGUAAUGGCCUACCAAGGCGACGACGGGUAGCCGGCCUGAGAGGGCGACCGGCCACACUGGGACUGAGACACGGCCCAGACUCCUAUGGGAGGCAGCAGUGGGGAAUAUUGCACAAUGGGCGCAAGCCUGAUGCAGCGACGCCGCGUGAGGGAUGACGGCCUUCGGGUUGUAAACCUCUUUCACCAGGGACGAAGCGAAAGUGACGGUACCGGGAGAAGAAGCACCGGCCAACUACGU
rnacentral:rRNA from 1 species